CACAUUGUAACAAGUGUUGAAGACACAAAGUAUGUUGAACCCUUUCGAAGCACAGUUGACUUAUGUAUGGAUGUGUUGGAAUGUAUGAUGUUUAUGUAUGAAUGUGUUGGAAUGUAUGAUGUUUAUGUAUGAAUGUGUUGGAAUGUAUAAUGUUUAUGUUGAUUGAUAUGAGUGAUGCUUAUGAAUGUUUUGCUAUGCAUGAAGAGAUCCAUGCUUUUGAUAU
rnacentral:lncRNA from 1 species